UACGAAGGGGGCUAGCGUUGCUCGGAAUGACUGGGCGUAAAGGGCGCGUAGGCGGCUUGCACCGUCAGAUGUGAAAUUCCUGGGCUCAACCUGGGGACUGCGCUUGAUACGGCUGUGCUAGAGGAUGGAAGAGGCUCGCGGAAUUCCCAGUGUAGAGGUGAAAUUCGUAGAUAUUGGGAAGAACACCGGUGGCGAAGGCGGCGAGCUGGUCCAUUACUGACGCUGAGGCGCGACAGCGUGGGGAGCAAACAGG
rnacentral:rRNA from 1 species